AGAGUUUGAUCCUGGCUCAGGAUGAACGCUAGCUACAGGCUUAACACAUGCAAGUCGAGGGGCAGCAUGACAGGAUUUCGGUCCUGUUGAUGGCGACCGGCGGAUGGGUGCGUAACGCGUAUCCAACCUGCCCCCGUCCCGGGUAUAGCCGUGGGAAACCGCGAUUAACACCCGAUGGUGCGUGACGGCCGCAUGACGGUCACGCCAAAUGCGAAGGACGGGGAUGGGGAUGCGUUCCAUUAGGCAGUCGGCGGGGUAACGGCCCACCGAGCCCGCGAUGGAUAGGGGUUCUGAGAGGAAGGUCCCCCACACUGGCACUGAGACACGGGCCAGACUCCUACGGGAGGCAGCAGUGAGGAAUAUUGGUCAAUGGGCGAGAGCCUGAACCAGCCAAGUAGCGUGCAGGAUGACGGCCCUAUGGGUUGUAAACUGCUUUUGCGCGGGGAUAAAGUGUGCCACGUGUGGCAUAUUGCAGGUACCGUGCGAAUAAGGACCGGCUAAUUCCGUGCCAGCAGCCGCGGUAAUACGGAAGGUCCGGGCGUUAUCCGGAUUUAUUGGGUUUAAAGGGAGCGCAGGCGGGAGAGAAAGCCAGCCGUCAAAUGUGCCAGCUCAACUGGCGCUCGCGGUUGGAACUGUUCUUCUUGGGUGCACAAGAGGGAGGCGGAAUUCGUGGUGUAGCGGUGAAAUGCAUAGAUAUCACGAAGAACUCCGAUUGCGAAGGCAGCCUCCUGGGGUGUUACCGACGCUCAUGCUCGAAGGCGCGGGUAUCAAACAGGAUUAGAUACCCUGGUAGUCCGCGCAGUAAACGAUGAGUGCUCGCGGUGCGUCCCUUGUGGAUACGCCGCCAAGCGAAAGCGUUAAGCACUCCACCUGGGGAGUACGCCGGCAACGGUGAAACUCAAAGGAAUUGACGGGGGCCCGCACAAGCGGAGGAACAUGUGGUUUAAUUCGAUGAUACGCGAGGAACCUUACCCGGGCUUGAAAUGUGACAGACGGCAGGCAGAGACGCCUGCUUCCUUCGGGCUGUCAUGUAGGUGCUGCAUGGUUGUCGUCAGCUCGUGCCGUGAGGUGUUGGCUUAAGUGCCAUAACGAGCGCAACCCUUUCCGCCGGUUACCAUCAGGUUAUGCUGGGGACUCCGGCGGCACUGCCGCCGCAAGGCGUGAGGAAGGUGGGGAUGACGUCAAAUCAGCACGGCCCUUACGUCCGGGGCCACACACGUGUUACAAUGGGGGGCACAGCGAGUUGGCGGCCGGUGACGGCCGUCGGAUCAACAAAUCCCCUCCCAGUUCGGAUCGGAGCCUGCAACCCGGCUCCGUGAAGCUGGAUUCGCUAGUAAUCGCGCAUCAGCCAUGGCGCGGUGAAUACGUUCCCGGGCCUUGCACUCACCGCCCGUCA
rnacentral:rRNA from 1 species